GGAAUAUUUGUGACCGCGCGCAAUGCGGUUGUAGAGUCAGUGUUUGCUACGCAAUAAUUUCUUUUCAAUAUUUUAAAAUCACGAUACUUUUGAUCAAAUUCGAUCGGAUAAUCACACGCGAAAAGUCAGUGCCUCCCUCAAGAGGAUAAAGCCUCUCCAGGAGCUCAAGAAUACAUAUCACAGCUUCAACUUCUUUAUCUCUUUUGAGAAUGCACCAAAAGCCAAAAAUGUAAGUAACUUUACAUAUCGUACUUCAAUUAUGUCUAUUCUGUAUAUUUUUCUUUAACCACUAUCAAUUAAGAAACACAAUCCGAUUGAAAAUUUGGGCGGUUAGCAUUUUCUGAGGUUAUUCUCUCAU
rnacentral:misc_RNA from 1 species